GAAAAGCCCCCCGCUUACACCGGGACGACAUCUGCUCACCCAGAUCAUUUUGAGCCUAAAAUCUAGCCUUUCCCCCCCCCCAUAUUACCUCUUAAUUACAGACCCAAACAAAACAUUUUAACAUUAUAGUACAGGAGAUCAAAAAAUUUCUAAGCGCUUUAGAUAAAGUACCGAAAGGGAACAAUGAAAUAAAAUGAAAUAAUGUAAAGCUCAACAUAGCAAAAAUUUAACCUUGUACCUUUUGCAUCAUGGUCUAGCUAGUCUAAUCAAGCAAAAAGAAAAUUUAAGUUUGCCAUCCCGAAACUAAGCGAGCUACUUCAAAACAGCCUUAAGGGCCAACCCGUCUCUGUUGCAAAAGAGUGGGAAGAUUUUCAAGUAAAAGUGAUAGACCUAACGAGCUUAAAGAUAGCUGGUAAUUCAGAAAAUGAGUUUCAGCUCAACCUUAAGUUUCUUCGUUACAUUUAAAAACCCUUUAAACUUAAGAGCUACUCAAAUAAGGCACAGCUUAUUUGAAACAGGAUACAACCUAAAAUAUUGGGUAAACAAGGGACUAAACAGACCAAGUAGGCCUAAGAGCAGCCACCUUCAAAAAGCGUUACAGCUUAUUCUCUUACACUUAUAAUUCCAUACCCCCCGCCAAACCCUUAAUUAUAUACUGAAUUAUUUUAUAUACCUAUAAAAGUAAUUAUGCUAGAACUAGUAACAAGAAAUUGAAUUUCUCCUAAAUGUAAACAUAAGCCCUAAUGGACACACCACCGGCACUUAACGUCUAUGCAACUACUAUAACAACAACCCCAAGAACACCCUAUAAACUCCCACGUUAACCUUACACAAGAACAUUUCAGGAAAGAUUAAAAAAGAAAGAAGGAACUCGGCAAAUUUUAGCCCCGCCUGUUUACCAAAAACAUCGCCUCUUGACACAACAUAGGAGGUCCAGCCUGCCCAGUGACAGAGUUCAACGGCUACGGUACCCUGACCGUACGAAGGUAGCAUAAUCACUUGUUCCUUAAAUGGGGACUUGUAUCAACGGCAUCACGAGGGCUGCACUGUCUCCUUUCUUCAAUCAGUGAAACUGAUCCCCCCGUGAAGAAGCGGGGAUGAAAUUAUAAGACGAGAAGACCCCAUGGAGCUUUAAAUAAUACAGCCACACUAUCAAAAUAUCCUCUUACUAAAAGUCCUGACUGUAAAUUUUAGGUUGGGGAGACCGCGGAGAACAACUAAACCUCCACGACAGACGGCCUAAGCCCUUAUCCACGAAUAACACUUCUAAGAAUCAGUACUCUGAUGUUAUUGACCCGAUAUUAUUCGACUGACGAACCAAGUUACCCUGGGGAUAACAGCGCAAUCUACUUUGAGAGCCCAUAUCGACAAGUGGGUUUACGACCUCGAUGUUGGAUCAGGGUAUCCUUGUGGUGCAGCAGCUAC
rnacentral:rRNA from 1 species